AUUCUGCCCAUGCGGGGAAGGAUGAGAAGCUUCGACCAAGGUUCGACUCGAGCGCCAGCGAGAGAGCGUUGCCGCAGGCAACGACCCGAAGGGCGAAGCGGGCAGCGCUGAGUAAUCCUUCCCCCACCACCA
rnacentral:sRNA from 1 species